GUAAAGAUGCCAGAAUAUUAAUGGAGUUGAUUUAGGAUUAAUUUAUGGGUUGGUUGUUUCCCUCUUUAUG
rnacentral:tRNA from 1 species